CAUUUGGCUUUUUCCUGACUCUCCAGCCGCUCCUCCUGCCGCCGUCAUCCAUCCUCCACCUCAAACUUCUUCCCCUGGAAAUUGGUUUCACUUCUUCACACUCUGCCUGCUCAUUACACCUACCCUCACGUGUCUACCAUGAACAACUCCUGCCUAUAUUUCUAGCUCAACUUCUCCUCUGAGAUCCGGAUCCCUAUGUCCAAUCAUUUCCUUCAUGUGUGUGUAGAACCUAAUACAUCUCAAACCAAACGUGUCCCCUGGUCCUCUAGCCCUAAUCCUUCCUCUAAAAGUAUCCUGCUCUCUAUGUGUCUUAUCCAGGUUAAUAUCAUCUCUGCCUUUCCAGUUUCUCUAACUGUUCAUCUUAAAGUUAAUUCAACUUCAAAAACGUCUCUAGAUGGCUCUUGUAAUCUUAAUCCAAGCCCUAUCCACCUUUCACCUAGCCUGUUAUAACCACCUUCUAUGGGCUUUCGUGCCUAGUGUUCCUCUGCUCCCUUCUGGUUUUUAUACUGACUUCUUUAGGAAAAGUGCUUUAAAACGUCACGCUCCAUAAUGUCGAGGUACGACUCACAUCUCUGCUCUCAUCUCUCACAAUCCUCUUGUCUCCUUCCCACCAACCCUCAGCCCCACAUGCUUCUCACACUGAGCUCCGCACUGUCCUCUAUGACCGAAUGCCCUUCUGCCUGUGCCUAGAACAUCUAUUCAUCAUCUUUCUUGCCUAUCACCUUCUCAGCUUCCCUCAACCUUCUCCGGUUGCAUGAAUCAUUUUUUUCUGUGGUCCUACAGAGCUUCCUUCAAAUCUGUCUGACACUAAUUAUAUUGCAUCACUUCUAUGGUCUACUAGAGGCCCGGUGCACAAAAUUCGUGCACAGGAGGGGGGUGGGGUCCCUCAGCACAGCCUGCACCCUCUCCAAUCCAGAACCCCUCGGGGGAUGUCCGACUGCUGGUUUAGGCCCCAUCCCGCAGUCGAACAUCCCUCUUGUAAUCCGGGACUGUUGGCUCCUAACUGCUCACUUGCCUGCCUGCCUGAUCACCCCUAACCACUCUACCUGCCUGCCUGAUUGCCCCUAACUACCUCUGCUUGAUGGCCUGGUCACCCCCUAACUGCCCCCCUGCUGGCCUGGUUGCCCCUAACUGCUUGCUCCCCUGCUAGCCUGAUCACCCCUAACUGCCUCUGCCUCAGCCCCCGCCACCAUGGCUUUGUCCGGAAGGAAGUCAGACGUCCGGAAGAUGUCUGGUCAACCUGGUCUAAUUAGCAUAUUACCCUUUUAUUAGUAUAGAUGUUUUUCUCUUUUGCGGAAGGCUGAGCACCUCUAAAGAAAGACAAUCUUCACAUCCUUAACAAGUUCCUCGCAUGUGGUAGAGGCACCAAAUCGCAGCACAGGACCUCAGAGACUCGCUGAGCUGGGUGCAGUGGCUGUGAUGAGACUGAGAGCGCCACCACUGCACCGGAGCAGAGACCACAGCCCCCUCGUUGUUAUCAUGUUCAUUGCCAACCCUCCGGACACCCACCUUGCCAAAGGCUGGACUCUGAUUCCAUUUGAGACUAAUAAGAAGACAACCAUAUGGCCCUCCUCCAAUCCUCAACCCAGGCUGUUUAUCACCGUCAGC